AGCGAACGCUGGCGGCAGGCCUAACACAUGCAAGUCGAACGGAUCCUUCGGGAUUAGUGGCGGACGGGUGAGUAACACGUGGGAACGUGCCCUUUGGUUCGGAACAACUCAGGGAAACUUGAGCUAAUACCGGAUGUGCCCUUCGGGGGAAAGAUUUAUCGCCAUUGGAGCGGCCUGCGUCUGAUUAGCUAGUUGGUGAGGUAAAGGCUCACCAAGGCUACGAUCAGUAGCUGGUCUGAGAGGAUGAUCAGCCACAUUGGGACUGAGACACGGCCCAAACUCCUACGGGGGGCAGCAGUGGGGAAUCUUGCGCAAUGGGCGAAAGCCUGACGCAGCCAUGCCGCGUGAAUGAUGAAGGUCUUAGGAUUGUAAAAUUCUUUCACCGGGGACGAUAAUGACAGUACCCGGAGAAGAAGCCCCGGCUAACUUCGUGCCAGCAGCCGCCGUAAAAC
rnacentral:rRNA from 1 species